rnacentral:lncRNA from 1 species
CUCCACCUCAUGUGCUCAUUCCAAGUACCUUACAAUGGUUCCUAAUUGGCGCGCUUAUUUUUCAACUAAAAUCUUAGCUGCAAAACCAUCUGAGAAGAAAACAAGUAUUUCAAAACUAAGAAAGAGCACAGAACGGUAGUUUGGGCACUGGAGGACUGAAAUGGAUUCUAACAGGAAAAAAUGCAAAGCAUAUUAAUAAUCUGAGAAAUAAUGAUCCAACAUUCAAAUAUUUUAUGGGCAGAAGGAACCUUGACUACUAGAUUGCCAAAAGAGACAGAGAUGAAACUGGAGAGCAAAUGGUUUUGCCAUGUGUGUGUCAAUAAAUUAAGACUGAUGCAACCUUGGACUGUGUUGGAAGAAUCCUCAUGGACAGGGUGGAGACACUUUCACAGUGUCGGCAUUCAAAGGUCCACUCUGGGAAAAAAGAUUCUAGCAAUAAAGGGCAAAAAAGUGGAGAAACACACAGAAGCUAUGAAAAAUAAAAAAA